AUUGAACGCUGGCGGCAGGCCUAACACAUGCAAGUCGAACGAGUGGCGGACGGGUGAGAAAUGACUGGGAAUCUAGCUUAUGGAGGGGGAUAACUACGGGAAACUGUAGCUACUAACGCGUACCAUAGGAUGAGCCCAAGUGGGAUUAGGUAGUUGGUGUGGUAAAGGCUCACCAAGCCGACGAUCCCUAGCUGGUCUGAGAGGAUGACCAGCCACACUGGGACUGAGACACGGCCCAGACUCCUACGGGAGGCAGCAGUAGGGAAUAUUGCGCAAUGGGCGCAACCUGACCCAGCCAUGCCGCGUGAAUGAAGAAGGCCUUCGGGUUGUAAAGUUCUUUCGGUAGCGAGGCGUUAACUACCGAAGAAGCACCGGCUAACUCCGUGCCAGCCGCCGCGGUAAUAC
rnacentral:rRNA from 1 species